rnacentral:pre_miRNA from 1 species
UGUUAAAAUAUUUAUUUAUUUUUAUUGUUAAAAACUGGCGUAAGUAAUGGAAUAACUAAACAAUUGUUAACGGUAGAAAUAGAUAAAUUUUUUUAACA